rnacentral:rRNA from 1 species
AUACGUAGGUGGCGAGCGUUGUCCGGAAAUUACUGGGUGUAAAGGGCGUGUAGGCGGGAAUGUAAGUCAGAUGUGAAAUACCGUGGCUUAACCACGGGGCUGCAUCUGAAACUAUGUUUCUAGAGUGUCGGAGAGGAAAGUGGAAUUCCCAGUGUAGCGGUGAAAUGCGUAGAUAUUGGGAGGAACACCAGUGGCGAAGGCGACUUUCUGGACGAUAACUGACGCUGAGGCGCGAAAGCGUGGGGAGC